CAGUCGAACGAGUUCUCGUUGAAUCUCGGUGCUUGCACCGAGAUUCAACAUGGAACGAGUGGCGGACGGGUGAGUAACACGUGGGUAACCUGCCCUUAAGUGGGGGAUAACAUUUGGAAACAGAUGCUAAUACCGCAUAGAUCCAAGAACCGCAUGGUUCUUGGCUGAAAGAUGGCGUAAGCUAUCGCUUUUGGAUGGACCCGCGGCGUAUUAGCUAGUUGGUGAGGUAAUGGCUCACCAAGGCGAUGAUACGUAGCCGAACUGAGAGGUUGAUCGGCCACAUUGGGACUGAGACACGGCCCAAACUCCUACGGGAGGCAGCAGUAGGGAAUCUUCCACAAUGGACGCAAGUCUGAUGGAGCAACGCCGCGUGAGUGAAGAAGGCUUUCGGGUCGUAAAACUCUGUUGUUGGAGAAGAAUGGUCGGCAGAGUAACUGUUGUCGGCGUGACGGUAUCCAACCAGAAAGCCACGGCUAACUACGUGCCAGCAGCCGCGGUAAUACGUAGGUGGCAAGCGUUAUCCGGAUUUAUUGGGCGUAAAGCGAGCGCAGGCGGUUUUUUAAGUCUGAUGUGAAAGCCCUCGGCUUAACCGAGGAAGCGCAUCGGAAACUGGGAAACUUGAGUGCAGAAGAGGACAGUGGAACUCCAUGUGUAGCGGUGAAAUGCGUAGAUAUAUGGAAGAACACCAGUGGCGAAGGCGGCUGUCUGGUCUGUAACUGACGCUGAGGCUCGAAAGCAUGGGUAGCGAACAGGAUUAGAUACCCUGGUAGUCCAUGCCGUAAACGAUGAAUGCUAGGUGUUGGA
rnacentral:rRNA from 1 species